rnacentral:rRNA from 1 species
GAUGAACGCUGGCGGCGUGCCUAAUACAUGCAAGUCGAGCGAACAGACGAGGAGCUUGCUCUUCUGACGUUAGCGGCGGACGGGUGAGUAACACGUGGAUAACCUACCUAUAAGACUGGGAUAACUUCGGGAAACCGGAGCUAAUACCGGAUAAUAUGUUGAACCGCAUGGUUCAAAAGUGAAAGACGGUCUUGCUGUCACUUAUAGAUGGAUCCGCGCCGCAUUAGCUAGUUGGUAAGGUAACGGCUUACCAAGGCAACGAUGCGUAGCCGACCUGAGAGGGUGAUCGGCCACACUGGAACUGAGACACGGUCCAGACUCCUACGGGAGGCAGCAGUAGGGAAUCUUCCGCAAUGGGCGAAAGCCUGACGGAGCAACGCCGCGUGAGUGAAGAAGGUCUUCGGAUCGUAAAACUCUGUUAUUAGGGAAGAACAAAUGUGUAAGUAACUGUGCACGUCUUGACGGUACCUAAUCAGAAAGCCACGGCUAACUACGUG